rnacentral:lncRNA from 1 species
AUGCGAGUUAGCAUAAUGCGGUACACCUGCACACCCGUUCACCAGGCGAGCUUGGCUGCCAGCUACGGGGAGAAAGCUCAGGUCCGAAGGCACAUCUUCAUUUCCAUCGGGCCACACCCAAGGCACAUGGAGGGCGAAUUAGAGCUGCAACUGCCGGCCUACACCACAGCCCCAGAAACUAGGGAUCCGAGCCUCAUCUGUGAUCUACACUGCAGUUCAUGGCAAUGCCAGAUCCUUACCCACUGAGCACAGCCAGGGAUCAAACCCGAAUCUUCAUGGAUACUAGUCAGGUUUGUUACCACUGAGCCAUAAUGGGAACUCCCUAAACGGUAUUUUAGAAAGAAAACACGGGAUGUAUGCUUGAACCAGGCACACUUGUGCUGGUUCCCCAUAUGAGCAGUAGCCUGAGAAUCAUUGGAUGUUAACCGAAAUGCUCAAUUUCUUGACAAUUUUGAUGUUAUUUGAGAAUAUCUGCAGAGACUAUUUGAAAAGAAAUUAGGCCUGUUGUCCUGACAACAGCAGAACACACAGUGGGAUAGCUCAAAGUCAUCUGGAUUUGUCCCUGACCUUGGCCUCCCUGGAAGAAGUGUUAGCUGAGCCCCAGGGGGCCCAGGACUGUGGUGGGCAGUUUGACAGGUUGAUAAGCAAUCCCAUUGGCAGUCCAGCUGUCUUGAUGCUGGACUGAUUUCCUGUGUUUCAUUACUCCCAGUGUAUUUUUAUGUUGGUCCCCUCUCUCCUGUGGGGAACAGCAUUCACCACUACCUGGAACAGCAUUUGUCACUACUCCUUCCAACCUGGAAGAGUCAAAUGUUGGGCUUAGUGGUUCAGCUCAACUUUUCAAAGGAAAAAACAGGGUCAGAGAGGUUAGGGGGCCAGUCAAGUGAGUAGUAAGCCCUGGAACUGGGAUUCCAACUCAUAUCUGCUUGAUUCCUUCCUGUCACGCCCAGGUAUUUCUGAUGGAAAUAGCAAAACCCAGGAUAUUGCAGCACACACAGGCUGAGUUCUAGCCACAACCUGGUUCUUACAUCACACAGACUCAUUUUGAACCUGAAGGAGGAAAGUGGAAAAAUGCCAAAUUGGUUUGGGAAGGGGUGGGGAGAGGAAAUGUGUGUGUGGGGGGGGUGAGGUGAAAAUGUUCUUUCUCUGCUGUGUCAUUAGGGGAACAGAAAGGGGUAAUCGUCUCAUUUUUCUUAACAGAAGCAACACAGGAAGAAAAGCAUUCAUUAAAACACUGCAUCACUGCACACUUUAGAAAGGAAGCAGCAACUCAUUUCAGUUCUGCAGGAGAAAUUUUUGCAAAUGAAUAAAGAGGGGUAGUUAAUAGGUUUUGUUUGUUUG